rnacentral:rRNA from 1 species
GACGAACGCUGGCGGCGUGCCUAAUACAUGCAAGUAGAACGCAGUUGCGCACGGGUGAGUAACGUGUAGGUAACUGCCUCAUAGCGGGGGAUAACUAUUGGAAACGAUAGCUAAUACCGCAUACUGUGAGCUGGACCUGCGUUGUAUUAGCUAGUUGGUGAGGUAAAGGCUCACCAAGGCGACGAUACAUAGCCGACCUGAGAGGGAGAACAGCCACACUUGGACGGGGACACGGCCCAGACCCCCACAGGAGGCAGCAGUAGGGAAUCUUCGGCAAUGGACGGAAGUCUGACCAAGCAAAGCCGCGUGAGUGAAGAAGGUUUUCGGGUCGGAAAACUAUGUUGUUAGAGAAGCGGUAGCUAACCAGAAAGGGACGGCUAACUACGUGCCAGCAGCCGCAGUAAUUC